GCACACAUGGCAGGUGGCGGUAACGGAAAGAAACAGGUUUCCAGCAACGAGACAAAGAAUGAGGUAACUUUUAAAGUUUAUUUCAUCACUUCUUAUAUUCUCAUGUAAACCUCUUAUGGUAGUUCACUGGUUAAAAAAAAAUCAUACCCAACCCGACCUGUCAUGGUAUACUGAUGAGUUUUGCAAUUUAUAAGUAAUAGUAAAAGAAAAGUUGAAUUUAUAAUCUUUCUCAUUCUUCUUUCUAAUUUUUAGAGCUAGACCACCUUAUAACUCUUACAUCACCAUUAUUGUUGGGUUAAAUUAGAGUUUAUUCUGAUGCAAAAGAUAGGAAAAAGGGAAAGGUGCGGGCGCAAAAAAUUAGAGGUGAAGAAGAUGCUAGCGUGGGCUUGGAGGACUAUAACUUUGAAGAACAUGAAGGGGGAUACAGAAACUCCUGUUACUAAGUAACUCAAGGUUACAUCACAGGUAAUCAUUAUACGCUACACACAAAUAACAUAUGAUGAUGUGUCGUGAUUUCUUUCUGCUUUGAAUUUCGAUUGCCAUAUGUUCUCCCUGUGUAUAUCUAAGAUAUCUUUUUAUCAUGUAAUAUCUUCAAAAUGUUUUACUUAAACCAUUAAUAAAAUAAAUGAUGCAUAGACAGUCUC
rnacentral:lncRNA from 1 species